CUCUCUAUUGUAUUAAAGCUGUUAUUUAAUUGCAUACCAAGUCAGUUCACGAUUUUCUCUCACAGCUUCACAUGUUUUGAACAGGAAAGUGAAAAAGAUUGAGAUAGCUUCAGUGGGACAUUAAGCACCUCAAAGAAGUGGAGCACCAAAAUGCAAAAGACCACUGAGGUGAUGUAAGGCAUUUGUGGAAGAUCCUGGUCAUUACCCACAGUGCUGAGCAAACCAUCUCUUCUGAGGGCACCAGCAGAGACAUCCUUGCUGUGUCUGGCACCUGGGACAGGCAACCAGCGUGGUGGGUUACUCUUAAAAUUCUGGAGUUUGCUUUUUGGAUUAAGGACCAGUUUGCAAAAUGCUGUUAUCUUCAUCAAUGAGUAAGUGAUGUUUCCAGUGAUCUCCCAUUAACAUGAUAGUGUGGAAAAGCUUUGUUUUAAAAUGGUUGAAGAGUGAAACAUGUUACUAUUUAUUACAAAGACC
rnacentral:lncRNA from 1 species